CCAAUUUUAGUUUAUUAAAAACAUUUUGUUGUUAACAAAAAAUAAUAAUAUUGGA
rnacentral:tRNA from 1 species